UCCAAGUUGCUAUGAAGUUUUCUCUAAUUG
rnacentral:piRNA from 1 species